rnacentral:tRNA from 1 species
GGAUUGUGGCUCAGUGGUAGAGCACUCACCUGGCAGGGCGGGACCCGGGUUCAAUCCUCAGCACCA